rnacentral:snRNA from 1 species
GGAUGUGAGGGUGAUCUGGCUGCGACAUCUGUCACCCCACUGAUCACCAGGGUUGAUUCGGCUGGUCUGGCUGGUUAGGCGGGUGUCCCCUUCCUCCCUCACCGCUCCUGUGCGUCCCUCCCAAAGCUGCACUCUCCAUCCUUCCCCAAAUAGAGGAGGACCAGUCUUCAGUCAAGGGUGUCUGCGCUCCCCUGCUAGAACCUCCAAACAAGCUCUCAAGAUCCUAAGCUUCUUGAUAGCAAGACCUGUCCCUUUAUUCCCUUAUCUCAUGCGUACAUUGUUCAGCACAGACAAGACCUUCUAGAAGCAUGUAUUGCAUAAGAGAAUAA